rnacentral:tRNA from 1 species
GGUGCUGUGGCGCAGCAGGUUAGCGCCCUGGCCUGAAGAGCCAUCAUCCCAUAUGGGCACUGGUUUGAGUCCUAGCUGUUCCA